rnacentral:rRNA from 1 species
CUUUACUGCAACUUGACGUUGAAACUUGGCUGUAUUUGUGUAGGAUAGGUGGGAGACUUUGAAGCAGGGCCGCCAGGUCUUGCGGAGUCGUCGUUGAAAUACCACCCUGGUGCUGACGAGUUUCUAACCGCACCCGUAAGCCGGGUGUGAGACAUCGUCUGGUGGGCAGUUUGACUGGGGCGGUCGCCUCCUAAAAGGUAACGGAGGCAUUCAAAGGUUCCCUCAGCGUGGUCGGUAAUCACGCGUAGAGUGCAAACGCAUAAGGGAGCUUAACUGCGAGACCGACAGGUCGAGCAGGUACGAAAGUAGGAGUUAGUGAUCCCGCGGUUUAGCGUGGAAUUGCCGUUGCUCAAUGGAUAAAAGGUA